rnacentral:rRNA from 1 species
UACGUAGGGGCAAGCGUUGUCCGGAAUCAUUGGCGUAAAGCGCGCGUAGGCGGCCAGAUAAGUCCGGUGUAAAGUCACAGGCUCAACCUGUGAAUGCCGCUGGAAACUGUCUGGCUAGAGUCCGGAAGGGGCGAGUGGAAAUUCUGGUGUAGCGGUGAAAUGCGCAGAUAUCAGAGGAACACCAAUGGCGAAGGCAGCUCGCUGGAACGGUACUGACGCUGAGGCGCGAAAGCGUGGGGAGCGAACAGG